AAAGAGGUUGAUUGUAAAGGCUGUUGUCCUUAACCCUCUGGCUUCUCAGAAUGGGGUGACGUUGCUGGGUAGUCCCGUGCCGAAUCUACUCUAGUUUUGGCCAAUCACAGUGGAACCACAGUGGACUAAUCACGGGGUGAACUACAGUUUGCAAGUUUGUGAAGGAAACAGUCGUUGAACUGAAAGGUAAUUUAGUAAGCACGUUUACAGAGGAUAGUGUCUGUCAAAGCUUGUGAGCACAAAUAGGACAAUCUGUGAAAGGACACCAAAUCUCAAACUUGGAACUCCACGAGUAUCCGACAAGAAAGAAAAAUGUGAAAUCAAGAGACUACAACAUUUUUGGCGAUCGAAUUUCUAUUGAAUGCAAACAAAAAAUGUGUACUUAAACAUGUUAGACUAUCCAGUAUAAAAUAGCCAUAAUGUAGCCAUGACUACCUAUGUGUAUUGUAUGAAGCACUGGUUAGUUCAUCAGGGUUGUAGCAGUUGCUUGCUAACCCCAAGCUGAGAAUGGUACAUCUAGUCUUUAUCCCAGUGAGAGUUAACUAUGGCAUAGGACAUACAGGUCAACCUGCCCCAAGUGCAAUUUAAUUGUAAGUGUGGUAGUCUUUAUCCCAGUUGUGAUAGGACAUACAGUUCCUUAUUUAAACCUGCCACCUGGGGAUUCAGUUUUUCAGGCUAUAUAUUCCUCAUCCUCCUUUCUACUCAGUUUAAUAAGAAGCCAUCUGGUAGCUAGGUAUUGUCGCAACUUUUUUUUAUAUCAUUUUUAUUAUUGUAUCCAAAGUUCUUCAGUAUUGUAUAUUUAUCUUAAUUUUUAAUAAUUUUUGUUGCUGUCUACAAAGUUGUUGUGAUGGUAAUUGCUUCCUAGCAAAGAAAGAUAAAGGAAAGGAGAACGCAUUUUCGAGAAGUUCGGCAACAAGGAGGCAUUAGCGCAUUGUGUUGGAGGUGCCUGUUAUCGUGAUGGUUCUAGAAUCGGCAGGAGUGUUGUGGAACUCGUCAGGCGCCAUCGUGACGUGAGAAACGCCGCGAUUUCUGAUGCAAUACCUCGUCUAGAUUCAUCUAAGAAUUUCUAGUAAUCUUGGGAGCCAGUGACAUUCGCCGUAGGCUCCACCCCCAGAGUGCCAUAUAAAUACGACGGUCAUAGCAGCAGCAGCAGCAGAGAUCGUAAGAGAGAGAUCACCAGUUAGUCACACAGAGAUAUCCUCAGUAAGAGCCACAGAUCAGAUUAUCAGUGAGAGAUCAGCAGCAGCAGAGAUCAUCUGAGAGAGAUAAGAGAAAAGGAACCGACGAAGGAUCAGAAGAGAAGUUGCUCGAGAGUUGGUUGGAUACUGGUCUAGUCAUCUUCAGGAGUGGACGAUCGGGUUAUCUCGACGUUGCGCAGACUUCAGAGAAGAAAAUGUCCUGCUAGAGGUUUUGGGGAGUUCCUGACUUUCAAGUAACGAGAGUAGACUUUAUUUUUUGCAAUACGGAGUCGAGGGGAUGUGAGCAAUCGCCAUUCUCCUUUUGUGAAGUCAUCGCUUCGAUUCACUAAACCUGCCAGCAAGUAUUUGAAUUACCUCACUGUUCCCCCAGUUCAUGCACUGUAAGGUUCUAUCUUUUUAUGUAAAUAGGAGAUACCAUUCUGCAUUUACCUUUGUU